UACGUAGGGGGCAAGCGUUGUCCGGAAUUAUUGGGCGUAAAGGGCUCGUAGGCGGCCUGUUGCGUCCGCUGUGAAAUCCCGGGGCUCAACCCCGGGCCUGCAGUGGAUACGGGCUGGCUGGAGGCAGGCAGGGGAGAACGGAAUUCCUGGUGUAGCGGUGAAAUGCGCAGAUAUCAGGAGGAACACCGGUGGCGAAGGCGGUUCUCUGGGCCUGUUCUGACGCUGAGGAGCGAAAGCGUGGGGAGCGAACAGG
rnacentral:rRNA from 1 species